GAUGAACGCUGGCGGCGUGCCUAACACAUGCAAGUCGAGCGGCAGCGCGGGGUGCUUGCACCCUGUCGGCGAGCGGCGGACGGCUGAGUAACGCGUGGGAACGUGCCCCAAAGUGAGGAAUAACUGCCCGAAAGGGUAGCUAAUACCGCAUAUUAUCUUCGGAUCAAAGGAUUUAUCCGCUUUGGGAGCGGCUCGCGUCGGAUUAUGUAGUUGGUGAGGUAAUGGCUCACCAAGCCGACGAUCCGUAGCUGGUCUGAGAGGAUGACCAGCCAGACUGGAACUGAGACACGGUCCAGACUCCUACGGGAGGCAGCAGUGAGGAAUCUUCCACAAUGGGCGAAAGCCUGAUGGAGCAACGCCGCGUGCAGGACGAAGGCCUUCGGGUUGUAAACUGCUUUUAUAAGUGAGGAAUAUGACGGUAACUUAUGAAUAAGGAUCGGCUAACUACGUG
rnacentral:rRNA from 1 species